rnacentral:rRNA from 1 species
CCUGGCUCAGGACGAACGCUGGCGGCGUGCCUAAUACAUGCAAGUCGAGCGAGCGGAACUAACAGAUUUACUUCGGUAAUGACGUUAGGAAAGCGAGCGGCGGAUGGGUGAGUAACACGUGGGGAACCUGCCCCAUAGUCUGGGAUACCACUUGGAAACAGGUGCUAAUACCGGAUAAGAAAGCAGAUCGCAUGAUCAGCUUUUAAAAGGCGGCGUAAGCUGUCGCUAUGGGAUGGCCCCGCGGUGCAUUAGCUAGUUGGUAAGGUAAAGGCUUACCAAGGCGAUGAUGCAUAGCCGAGUUGAGAGACUGAUCGGCCACAUUGGGACUGAGACACGGCCCAAACUCCUACGGGAGGCAGCAGUAGGGAAUCUUCCACAAUGGACGCAAGUCUGAUGGAGCAACGCCGCGUGAGUGAAGAAGGUUUUCGGAUCGUAAAGCUCUGUUGUUGGUGAAGAAGGAUAGAGGUAGUAACUGGCCUUUAUUUGACGGUAAUCAACCAGAAAGUCACGGCUAACUACGUGCCAGCAGCCGCGGUAAUACGUAGGUGGCAAGCGUUGUCCGGAUUUAUUGGGCGUAAAGCGAGCGCAGGCGGAAGAAUAAGUCUGAUGUGAAAGCCCUCGGCUUAACCGAGGAACUGCAUCGGAAACUGUUUUUCUUGAGUGCAGAAGAGGAGAGUGGAACUCCAUGUGUAGCGGUGGAAUGCGUAGAUAUAUGGAAGAACACCAGUGGCGAAGGCGGCUCUCUGGUCUGCAACUGACGCUGAGGCUCGAAAGCAUGGGUAGCGAACAGGAUUAGAUACCCUGGUAGUCCAUGCCGUAAACGAUGAGUGCUAAGUGUUGGGAGGUUUCCGCCUCUCAGUGCUGCAGCUAACGCAUUAAGCACUCCGCCUGGGGAGUACGACCGCAAGGUUGAAACUCAAAGGAAUUGACGGGGGCCCGCACAAGCGGUGGAGCAUGUGGUUUAAUUCGAAGCAACGCGAAGAACCUUACCAGGUCUUGACAUCUAGUGCCAUUUGUAGAGAUACAAAGUUCCCUUCGGGGACGCUAAGACAGGUGGUGCAUGGCUGUCGUCAGCUCGUGUCGUGAGAUGUUGGGUUAAGUCCCGCAACGAGCGCAACCCUUGUUAUUAGUUGCCAGCAUUAAGUUGGGCACUCUAAUGAGACUGCCGGUGACAAACCGGAGGAAGGUGGGGAUGACGUCAAGUCAUCAUGCCCCUUAUGACCUGGGCUACACACGUGCUACAAUGGGCAGUACAACGAGAAGCGAGCCUGCGAAGGCAAGCGAAUCUCUGAAAGCUGUUCUCAGUUCGGACUGCAGUCUGCAACUCGACUGCACGAAGCUGGAAUCGCUAGUAAUCGCGGAUCAGCACGCCGCGGUGAAUACGUUCCCGGGCCUUGUACACACCGCCCGUCACACCAUGGGAGUCUGCAAUGCCCAAAGCCGGUGGCCUAACCUUCGGGAAGGAGCCGUCUAAGGCAGGGCAGAUGACUGGGGUGAAGUCGUA